CGCCUCUUGAUAACCUAUAAGAGGUCCAGCCUGCCCAGUGACCUAGUUUAACGGCCGCGGUAUCCUGACCGUGCGAAGGUAGCGUAAUCACUUGUCUUUUAAAUAGAGACUAGUAUGAAUGGCAUCACGAGGGUUGUACUGUCUCCUUUUUCUAAUCAGUAAAACUAAUCUUCCCGUGAAGAAGCGGGAAUUCCUUUAUAAGACGAGAAGACCCUACGGAGCUUUAAACGAAAUAAUACUUGCUUUCUCCACCCACACCCCCCGGGCAUUAACCCCCCUACUUUAGCAUCAUAAUUACUAGUUUUCGGUUGGGGCGACCGCGGAGUAAAAAUUAACCUCCGUGUUGAAUGGACUUUCCCUAAACAAAAAGCCACGACUUUAAGUAUCAACAAAUUGACAUUAAUUGACCCAAUAUUUUGAUCAACGAACCAAGUUACCCUAGGGAUAACAGCGCAAUCCACUUCAAGAGCUCCUAUCGAAAAGUGGGCUUACGACCUCGAUGUUGGAUCAGGGUUUCCCAGUGGUGCAGCCGCUACUAAAGGUUCGUUUGUUCAACGAUUAAAAUCCU
rnacentral:rRNA from 1 species